rnacentral:rRNA from 1 species
AUUGAACGCUGGCGGCAGGCCUAACACAUGCAAGUCGAGCGGAGCGGCGGACGGGUAAGUAAUGCCUCGGAAUCUGCCUGGUAGUGGGGGAUAACGUAGGGAAAGGGGCGCUAAUGCCGCAUACUUCAAAAUGAGCCUGGGUCGUAUUGGCUGGUUGGUGGGGUAAAGGCGUACCAGGGCGACGAUCCGUAACUGGUCUGUGAGGAUGAUCAGUCACACUGGAACUGAGACACGGUCCAGACUCCUACGGGAGGCAGCAGUGGGGAAUAUUGGACAAUGGGCGAAAGCCUGAUCCAGCCAUGCCGCGUGUGUGAAGAAGGUCUUCGGAUUGUAAAGCACUGUAAGUUGGGAGGCGGUACCAACAGAAUAAGCACCGGCUAACUUCGUGCCAGCAGCCGCGGUAAUAC